rnacentral:rRNA from 1 species
AGGAUGAACGCUGGCGGCGUGCCUAACACAUGCAAGUUGAGCGAUUUACUUCGGUAAAGAGCGGCGGACGGGUGAGUAACGCGUGGGUAACCUACCCUGUACACACGGAUAACAUACCGAAAGGUAUGCUAAUACGGGAUAAUAUAUUUGAGAGGCAUCUCUUGAAUAUCAAAGGUGAGCCAGUACAGGAUGGACCCGCGUCUGAUUAGCUAGUUGGUAAGGUAACGGCUUACCAAGGCGACGAUCAGUAGCCGACCUGAGAGGGUGAUCGGCCACAUUGGAACUGAGACACGGUCCAAACUCCUACGGGAGGCAGCAGUGGGGAAUAUUGCACAAUGGGCGAAAGCCUGAUGCAGCAACGCCGCGUGAGUGAUGAAGGCCUUCGGGUCGUAAAACUCUGUCCUCAAGGAAGAUAAUGACGGUACUUGAGGAGGAAGCCCCGGCUAACUACGUGCCAGCAGCCGCGGUAAUACGUAGGGGGCUAGCGUUAUCCGGAUUUACUGGGCGUAAAGGGUGCGUAGGCGGUCUUUCAAGUCAGGAGUGAAAGGCUACGGCUCAACCGUAGUAAGCUCUUGAAACUGGGAGACUUGAGUGCAGGAGAGGAGAGUGGAAUUCCUAGUGUAGCGGUGAAAUGCGUAGAUAUUAGGAGGAACACCAGUUGCGAAGGCGGCUCUCUGGACUGUAACUGACGCUGAGGCACGAAAGCGUGGGGAGCAAACAGGAUUAGAUACCCUGGUAGUCCACGCUGUAAACGAUGAGUACUAGGUGUCGGGGGUUACCCCC